GACGAACGCUGGCGGCGUGCCUAAUACAUGCAAGUUGAGCGCUGAAGGUUGGUACUUGUACCGACUGGAUGAGCAGCGAACGGGUGAGUAACGCGUGGGGAAUCUGCCUUUGAGCGGGGGACAACAUUUGGAAACGAAUGCUAAUACCGCAUAAAAACUUCAAACACAAGUUUUAAGUUUGAAAGAUGCAAUUGCAUCACUCAAAGAUGAUCCCGCGUUGUAUUAGCUAGUUGGUGAGGUAAAGGCUCACCAAGGCGAUGAUACAUAGCCGACCUGAGAGGGUGAUCGGCCACAUUGGGACUGAGACACGGCCCAAACUCCUACGGGAGGCAGCAGUAGGGAAUCUUCGGCAAUGGACGAAAGUCUGACCGAGCAACGCCGCGUGAGUGAAGAAGGUUUUCGGAUCGUAAAACUCUGUUGGUAGAGAAGAACGUUGGUGAGAGUGGAAAGCUCAUCAAGUGACGGUAACUACCCAGAAAGGGACGGCUAACUACGUG
rnacentral:rRNA from 1 species